rnacentral:rRNA from 1 species
AGAGUUUGAUCAUGGCUCAGGACGAACGCUGGCGGCGCGCUUAACACAUGCAAGUCGAACGCUGCUCGUUGCCUUCGGGUGAUGAGCGGAGUGGCGAACGGGUGCGUAACACGUGAGUGACCUGCCCCUGUGCGGGGGAUAACCCGGGGAAACCCGAGCUAAUACCGCAUGGAGUCCAUUUUCUGUAAGGGAGAUGGAUGAAAGGCGCUGUGCCUUCGGGCGUGGCGUUGUGCAGGGAGGGGCUCGCGGCGUAUCAGCUGGUUGGUGAGGUAACGGCUCACCAAGGCGAUGACGCGUAGGGGGUCUGAGAGGAUGGCCCCCCACAUUGGGACUGAGAUACGGCCCAGACUCCUACGGGAGGCAGCAGUGGGGAAUCUUGCGCAAUGGGCGAAAGCCUGACGCAGCGACGCCGCGUGCGGGAGGACGCUUUUCGGAGUGUAAACCGCUGUCAGGGGGGAAGAAAGUCAGGAGCAGGCAAUGGCUUCUGUUUGACGGUACCCCCAGAGGAAGCACCGGCUAACUCUGUGCCAGCAGCCGCGGUAAUACAGAGGGUGCAAGCGUUGUUCGGAAUUACUGGGCGUAAAGGGCGCGUAGGCGGCCUGUUAAGUCCUGCUGUGAAAUGCCGGGGCUCAACCCCGAGCGCUGCAGGGGAUACUGGCGGGCUGGAGACAUGUAGAGGCAAGCGGAAUUCCGGGUGUAGCGGUGGAAUGCGUAGAGAUCCGGAAGAACACCGGAGGCGAAGGCGGCUUGCUGGGCAUGAUCUGACGCUGAGGCGCGAAAGCGUGGGGGAGCGAAACAGGGAUUAGAUUACCCUUGGGUUAAGUCCAACCGGCCGGUAAAACGAAUUGGGGCACUAAGACGGCUUGGGCGGAUUCGAA